AUGCUCUUCCUAGCAGCACAUAUACUAAAAUUGGGAUGAAACAGAGAAGACAAGCAUGCCCCCCGUUCAAGGAUGAUGUGCAAAUUUGUGAAGCAAUAAGAAGAAAA